AGUGAACGCUGGCGGUAGGCCUAACACAUGCAAGUCGAACGGCAGCACAGUAAGAGCUUGCUCUUACGGGUGGCGAGUGGCGGACGGGUGAGGAAUACAUCGGAAUCUACUUUUUCGUGGGGGAUAACGUAGGGAAACUUACGCUAAUACCGCAUACGACCUAAGGGUGAAAGCAGGGGAUCUUCGGACCUUGCGCGAUUGAAUGAGCCGAUGUCGGAUUAGCUAGUUGGCGGGGUAAAGGCCCACCAAGGCGACGAUCCCUAGCUGGUCUGAGAGGAUGAUCAGCCACACUGGAACUGAGACACGGUCCAGACUCCUACGGGAGGCAGCAGUGGGGAAUAUUGGACAAUGGGCGCAAGCCUGAUCCAGCCAUACCGCGUGGGUGAAGAAGGCCUUCGGGUUGUAAAGCCCUUUUGUUGGGAAAGAAAAGCAGCAGGUUAAUACCCCGCUGUUCUGACGGUACCCAAAGAAUAAGCACCGGCUAACUUCGUG
rnacentral:rRNA from 1 species